UACGGAGGGUGCAAGCGUUAAUCGGAAUUACUGGGCGUAAAGCGCACGUAGGUGGUUUUCUAAGCCAGCUGUGAAAUCCCCGGGCUCAACCUGGGCACUGCAGUUGGAACUGGAAAGCUAGAGUAGGGUAGAGGGGUGUGGAAUUCCAGGUGUAGCGGUGAAAUGCGUAGAUAUCUGGAGGAACAUCAGUGGCGAAGGCGACGCCCUGGACUCAUACUGACACUGAGGUGCGAAAGCGUGGGGAGCAAACAGG
rnacentral:rRNA from 1 species